rnacentral:rRNA from 1 species
AGCGUAGACGGCGAAGCAAGUCUGAAGUGAAAAUCCGGGGCUCAACUCCGGAAGUGCUUUGGAAACUGUUUUGAUAGAGUGUCGGAGAGGUAAGUGGAAUUCCUGGUGUAGCGGUGAAAUGCGUAGAUAUCAGGAAGAACACCGGAGGCGAAGGCGGCUUACUGGACGAUAACUGACGUUGAGGCUCGAAAGCGUGGGAAGCAAACA